rnacentral:rRNA from 1 species
UACGAACCGAGCGAACGUUGUUCGGAAUCACUGGGCUUAAAGGGCGCGUAGGCGGGUGCUCAAGUCCGGGGUGAAAUCCCACAGCUCAACUGUGGAACUGCCUCGGAUACUGGGCGUCUCGAGUGUGGUAGGGGUAUGCGGAACUAUCGGUGGAGCGGUGAAAUGCGUUGAUAUCGAUAGGAACUCCGGUGGCGAAGGCGGCAUACUGGACCACUACUGACGCUGAUGCGCGAAAGCCAGGGGAGCAAACGGG